rnacentral:rRNA from 1 species
AGCAGCCGCGGUAAUUCCAGCUCCAAUAGCGUGUAUUAAAGUUGUUGCAGUUAAAAAGCUCGUAGUUGAAUUUCGGGGUUUAUCCGUCGGUCGGGCUUUCGGGUCUGUACUGGCGUGAUGGAUUCCUACCUUCUGAAUAACCGGCAUGUCAUUAAUUUGGUGCGCCGGGGAAGCAGGACUGUUACCUUGAAAAAAUUAGAGUGCUUAAAGCAGGCUUAUGCCUGAAUACAUUAGCAUGGAAUAAUGAAAUAGGACGGCAUGGUUCUAUUUUGUUGGUUUCUAGGAUCACCGUAAUGAUUAAUAGGGAUAGUUGGGGGCAUUAGUAUUCAAUUGUCAGAGGUGAAAUUCUUGGAUUUAUUGAAGACUAACUUCUGCGAAAGCAUUUGCCAAGGAUGUUUUCAUUAAUCAAGAACGAAAGUUAGGGGAUCGAAGACGAUCAGAUACCGUCGU